GUCAUCCAACCAAAUAAAUUAUAUUGCAGUGCAGUUCUGCUGGAGAAAGCACAGAAUGCUACAAGAGCACAAAGAGCGGGUUCCCAAUUCAGGUGUUGAGGAACGGGUGCAAGGAGGAUUUCCUGGAAGAAAUGAGACUAUGCUGAAGGCUGAAGGCUGAAGGGUCCACCCUUGCCCGUGGAAGCAGAUGGAAUGGAGAGGAAUUUCACCCUGGCCUCCUUCACACUAGCCCCGUGACUCAAGCCCUUGCCUUGCAUCUCCAGGGAUGACGGCCUGGAUGAGCCGCACUGAGCAGGUGCUGUUUCCCAGCACAGACGCCCUGCUGUGUCCUGACGGUCCCACAUUGCCCUCAAUCUGAAGGUGUGGAUAAUUAAGAUCCAUGGGAACAUCCGCAAAUGGGUGGAGGCUGAGGCCUCCAGAUGCCCUGGAAUAAUUUUUUCCUUCCUGUGGGAUCCCAGAUGAGAUGAAAGGUCACAGCCACUGUUCUUAAACCAGGUAUGUCCAGCCUAUAGCUGCAUUUCCUGAAGGUGAGUUCUGCACUUGCACAGAGGUCAGCGAACACCAGACUGGGCGUUCUUGCCAAAGGUACUUCUCUUUAGGAACCCCAUGUGCUUGCUUCUUUUGCCAUGAGUGUUUCUAUCAGUAGAAUGAAGGAAAAGUGUCUCGUUGUUUUCCAAGUGAGGCAAAAGAAAACUGUGAUUGGAUUUUCCGUGGGUCCAUAAUGUUUACUGCAGAAUAGUGAUAUCUGUUCCCUCCGUCUCCUUAACCUCACCAUGCAUCUUUGCUAAGCAUAUCCAGUAAUUUUUGUACAUCCUCCUAUGUAGGCUGUCAGCUAACCUGACUCCCAUUCCUGGGUGACCCAAGAACCAGGGAAUCUCUGGGGCUUAGGAACCAGGAGCUGAAGACAUUAAAGAUUUCUUUCUUUAGCAAGAGGUCUGAAAUCAGUGUGGGAAAUGUUAUGCAUACUAUAGGGAGCCAAAGGGUAUGUGGAACAUCUGACUGGUGUCUUUCUCUUGGCAUCCUAAUAUUUUCAUCUCAGUGAGGUGAGGCAUCCUCAAGUGUGAGAACCUUAUAAAGCUCCUAAAACAGGUGGAUAAAGAAAGCAGCCUGAAUGGUGUGCUCACAGGCAGAGCAGUGGCUGCAAUGUGACACAGAGAUGGGGUUUCUGGGCAUGCCCCACACCUCAGGCCUUUAGCAUGGCCAGCAUAAUGUAGCUGUCAGUUCUGAGUUCUUAUUUCAGUUCUGCCACUUCCCAGUUUCGUAACUUUAAGCAAAUUAUUGCUCCUAGCCUCAGUUUUCCUACCUGUAAAGUGGGCAUGAUAUCAUGAAGAAUGCUGAGAAUGUUACCUGUAGUAAUGUAUAUGAAGUGUCUGACAUAGAUCCUGCACAUGGGUUAAGCCCCCUUUCUAUUAACCCUAUCUCUGAGGAUUUGUUGUAUCUUAUUCAGUGAAAAUGGAUAGAGUUUAAGUUUGAAGAAAGGUAAGGAAAGUUAGGAAAGCCCAACAUCGUCCUUUAUAAAUGAGGUACCUGAGGCCAGAGAAGUUAAGCCAUUUCUCUAGUCAUGGCCCUGAGGUCUUGACUUUUUAUCCAGUGAUUGUUUCAUGGUUUGAUGCUUCUGUGGCGACUGAAGUUGCUGAUACAUACAUGAGCAAGACAAUUGUACAACGGAAGAAAAUACCACUCAAAAGCAUUUUUCCAUGAGCAAUUACCACUGUGCGCACAUGUGAUGCUGCUGGCGGUGGUGGUUGUCAGCGAAUUAAUUACUGAAGAUGCCAUAGAAUCAUGGCUCCCUGGGGAUGACGGUGGAUAAAGAAAUUCCCUGGGCAUUCUCCAAGGCUUGACCAUAUCUAUGUUUAAUUCAGAGUAUUUUGUGAAGGCAUUGUCUUGAAGAAUACUUGCUAGGUAGUUACAAAUUAGAGGAGAGCUUUCCGAAGACAAAGUUAGCUGGGUGCCAUUAGACAUCACAGGACCUCAAAGCAAACGUUGAUCAAAAUGUGUUCCCAGAUCACGGAUAAUGAAAAAAGCUUCCCUGGUCAUCGCAGUUACCUUUUACCGUAUAUUGCCUUCUGAAAUUGCAUUUCCCAAAAUGAUUUGGGGACCAUCUUUUUCUUGUAAUUAUCAUUCUUUGUAGCUAGUGUUCCACCAUUCAUUUUUAGAUAAACUGUUAGCUUAGAGACUUAGAUACAUGUAGACUAUCAGACAACACUGAUGGAUCAGUGUGUAUUCUAUUUAGUCAGAAAUGCACUGGCCACUUUAUUACAAGAAAUGCGCAAUAUAAAAAGUGCAAGCCAGUGGAAGUCCUCUGAGGAAGGACACUCUGGAAGAUGAAG